rnacentral:tRNA from 1 species
GCAUUGGUGGCUCAGUGGUAGAGCUUCCGCCUGCCACGCUGGCGGCAAGGGUUUGUAUCCUGGCCAAUGCC